GACUAUGGCCAUGCUACCCUGAACAAGCCUGAUCCCAUCUGAUCUCAGAAGCUAAGCAGAAUUGGGCCUGGUUAGUACUUGGAUGGGAGACCACCUAGGAAGACCAGGUGCUGUAGGCA
rnacentral:rRNA from 1 species